UACGGGGGGAGCAAGCGUUGUUCGGAUUUACUGGGCGUAAAGGGCGCGUAGGCGGUCAGCACAAGUCAGUUGUGAAAUCUCCGGGCUUAACUCGGAAAGGUCAACUGAUACUGUGCGACUAGAGUGCGGAAGGGGCAACUGGAAUUCUCGGUGUAGCGGUGAAAUGCGUAGAUAUCGAGAGGAACACCAGUGGCGAAGGCGGUUACCUGGAGCUUUGCUGACGCUGAUGCGCGAAAGCGUGGGGAGCGAUCCGG
rnacentral:rRNA from 1 species